CACUGUUUCUCUUUGUGUCUAUACAAGAUGCUACAGCACUGUAGCAAUGGGCUACAGUGCCAUAGCAUCCAUUAGCAAAAACUGUGAUGCCACCACUACGUUACUGUAGCUCU